AUUGAACGCUGGCGGCAGGCCUAACACAUGCAAGUCGAGCGAGCGGCGGCCGGGUGAGUAGUGUGUGGGGACUGCCCGAUAGAGGGGGAUAACUACUGGAAACGUGGGCUAAUACCGCAUACUAUCGGAUAACCCAUAUGGGAUUAGCUAGUAGGUGGGGGAAAGGCUCACCUGGGCGCCGAUCCCUAGCUGGUCUGAGAGGGUGGUGACCCACACUGGGAUAGAGGAACGGGCGAGAAUCCUAAGGAGGCACCAGGGGGGAAUAUUGGACAAUGGGUGGAAGCCGGAUGCAGACAUGCCCCGUGGAUGAAGAAGGUCUUAGGGCUGUAAAGCACUUUAAGAGGGGAGGCGGGAACAGCAGAAGAAGCAGCGGCUAACUCCGUGCCAGCAGCCGCGGUAAUAC
rnacentral:rRNA from 1 species